CGGAUCGGAGUCUGCAACUCGACUCCGUGAAGCUGGAUUCGCUAGUAAUCGCGCAUCAGCCAUGGCGCGGUGAAUACGUUCCCGGGCCUUGUACACACCGCCCGUCAAGCCAUGGGAGCCGGGGGUACCUGAAGUCCGUAACCGCGAGGAUCGGCCUAGGGUAAAACUGGUGACUGGGCUAAGUCGUAACAAGGUAUC
rnacentral:rRNA from 1 species